rnacentral:rRNA from 1 species
UACAGAGGUCUCAAGCGUUGUUCGGAUUCAUUGGGCGUAAAGGGUGCGUAGGCGGCUUGUCGCGUCGGCUGUGAAAACCUGGGGCUCAACCCCGGGCCUGCAGCCGAUACGGGCAAGCUAGAAUUCGGUAGGGGAGACUGGAAUUCCUGGUGUAGCGGUGAAAUGCGUAGAUAUCGAGAGGAACACCUGCGGCGAAGGCGGGUAGCUGGGCCGACACUGACGCUGAGGCGCGAAAGCCAGGGGAGCGAACGGG